rnacentral:rRNA from 1 species
CCCAAGAGUCCAUAUCGACGGCAUGGUUUGGCACCUCGAUGUCGGCUCGUCGCAUCCUGGGGCUGGAGUUGGUCCCAAGGGUUGGGCUGUUCGCCCAUUAAAGCGGUACGCGAGCUGGGUUUAGAACGUCGUGAGACAGUUCGGUCCCUAUCCGCUGCGCGCGCAGGAAACUUGAGAAAGGCUGCCCCUAGUACGAGAGGACCGGGGUGGACCAACCUCUGGUGUGCCAGUUGUUCCGCCAGGAGCACGGCUGGUUGGCUACGUUGGGAAGGGAUAACCGCUGAAAGCAUCUAAGCGGGAAGCCCGUUUCAAGAUGAGGUUUCCACGGACUACGGUCCGGAAGGCCCCCUAUAGACCAUGGGGUUGAUAGGCCGGAUGUGGAAGAGAGGACUAACGACUCUUGAAGCUGACCGGUACUAAUAGGCCGACAACUUGACUUC